GGUGAUGAUAGCGCAAAGGUCCACCUGUUCUCAUUCCGAACACAGAAGUUAAGCUUUGCCGCGCCGAAAGUACUUGCAGGGUGACCUGCCGGGAGGAUAGGUCGUUGCC
rnacentral:rRNA from 1 species